UACGGGGGGGGCAAGCGUUGUUCGGAAUUACUGGGCGUAAAGGGCUCGUAGGCGGCCAACUAAGUCAGACGUGAAAUCCCUCGGCUUAACCGGGGAACUGCGUCUGAUACUGGAUGGCUUGAGGUUGGGAGAGGGAUGCGGAAUUCCAGGUGUAGCGGUGAAAUGCGUAGAUAUCUGGAGGAACACCUAUGGCGAAGGCAGCUCUCUGGGACGGUACUGACGCUGAGACGCGAAAGCGUGGGGAGCGAACAGG
rnacentral:rRNA from 1 species